CAAAAGUACAAUUCGUUCACGAAUCAGUCAUAUCAUAGCUCACGCUGACGUAGAGGUUUGCAGUCACUCACUGGCGCCAGUGGCGCGUGGCGGGCUUUGAAAUGGCACGAUGUCUGUUAGAGUCGGUCAUGUAACGGUUUUAUUUUUGGCAUUACAUUAACUCGACAAAUAGGUAUUUUAUUUUAAAUUUUAUAUUUUUAAUCGCUCACCAACUAUUCCUCAGUUAUAAAACAUUAUAAGACGUCGAACUACAAUUUUUCAUCUACUGAAAUAAAGAGAACAGGAGACUGAAUACUUCUUUAAUGGUUUAUAUCCACUGAUAAGGGCUGUGUACAUAAGACAUUGUCAAGCGUUCAUCACCUCCUCCGUCCACUAUUUCUGAAGUCUAGGUGGGAGCCUUGCUAUUCAUCUAAAUUCAACUCUGCUGAAUUUAGUAAAUCAAACAGCAGAAAUAUCAUAACCUCUUAUUUGUGUGGUCCUUUCCAGGUUCCCGAAAAAACUGUUGUGAGUUGUGUGAGGUAAUGGGAAAGUCUUUUAUGUCCAGUAAACCUGAGGUAUAGAGAUACCACACUUACAGAAUGUGACAGAGAAAGAAGAGAAGGAAAAAAGAGAUUAAAAGGUAAAGAAACAUGCCUUAAUAAGAGCACACUGUACAAAGAGCAUUUCCAGUCGAAUACUCAUUUCAUGUUCUUCUCUUACCCUCUACCUCUGUAUUCUCAAAGUAUUCUGUAAGCAGUAAAAUAAUUAUAAUACAAUUGUUUAUAAAAUAGCAGCACACUGAUGUGACAUCACAACUAUGUAAUGUUAUUUUUGUGUAUAAGAUGAAACAAAAAAAAUCAUAGCUUUUUAGCAGCGGAAAAAACAAUAACUCAAUAACAAUAUUGACACUUGAUUGACAUCUUCACACUAUUUCCAUCUCUCAUCACUUUGGAAUACAGUAUCAUACCCCUUAAGGAACGUAACUUCGGUUCAUAUUCAAACUCAAACCACUUAGCCACCCAUACAAUGUUAACAGUACUGUAAUUCAUUUUCAGAGCAGAGCUGGGAAAAUAAUAGGACCGACUAACUUGAUACAAUAAGAUUGACGGGGUUUUGGUGUGAGGAUGGAGGAAAUGUGGCUUGUGAGACUCAAGCAUCACUAAGAACUGUUUCUGGAGAAAGAAAAUGCAUGAGUACACAAAAACAUCUCCUUAACCCACAGAAAGACAUGCACACAAGCACACAUGCAUACACAGAUGGACACAAACCUAAACUCGACUGCCCCUUUUCAAGGUAAGCUAUGAGAAUUCAGCAUAUGAAAGCCGUUUUGUGCUGCUGAUGCACCCUGUUUUUAGCCACUGUGAAUGACUUGUGGAUUAUUUCAAACCCCAUGCCAGUUCAACGUUUGGAAGCAGCAUAUUUAGGAUGGCUGGGUAGUGGAUAUUAUGCUUAAGCUCAGCAAAACAGGGUGAAAGUCUACAUCAGACUCAAGGCACUAUAUAAAAUUUUUUGCUGCAAUGUUGCAGUUGCACAAGUCUUUUCAAAUUGAAAACUGCCCUUGGAGCGUGCAAAUCGAACAAAGAUUUUUUCUUCCAUUUCAGUGUUUUCUGUCAUCUUGUUUGUUUUUUGGUCUUUUGUAUUUAUAAUUUUUUAUUUUUUAAUUUGCAUUAAUAUUAUUAUUUAGUUACUGUUGUUGUCAUACAUUGGUUUCCAAUGCUUUAACGCUAUAAUGAACUGAACAUGCCAUGAUCUAAACAUGGGAAACCAGCCCAAAAAAGAAAAAGAGAGAGAAAAAAAUAAAAUUGAAAACAUUAAAAAUGGCUCCUUAACCUUAACCAUUUGUUAUCCAUGGCAAAUAUGCUCUCUGAACUGAAACCGAUGGAGUAACCUUCCCCAGUUAUGCGCUAGCGGUAUCAAUGAAACUGGUUUAGAUACUGGUCUGUAAUUCAAACAUGAGACAUAAAAACUAAAGGACAAACAAAUAAACAGACAAAUAGAUUAAAGAUCUUAAAUAUCAGGUGAUGUAUGGAAACCAAAGCUGUUGUUUCUCCUUUGGCCUCCUUUCCUGCUUCUCCAUAUCUCCAUAUCAGCAUAUAACAAAUCACCAAAUCACAUAUCGGCAUCCUCAUCUCAGCAGCAUGCUUCAAACCUCAAACCAACCAAGCUUCAUCGUCAUCGUCCUCGAUCAUUCUUGCCUACACAUUCCUUUACUGCUAACAUAAUUAGCACACAUUUGCUUGAAAACAACUCCACAACUCAUUUUUCGGUCCCUGAUGGGACCAACCAUAUAUCAGCCUAAGGCUCCUUCAACACACUCACAACAAAAUACGUAAUAACAUAAUAAACUGUCUGUAUACAAUACAACUGUAAUAUUUAGUGGGAGGCUGCCAUGAAAGACAACCUUACCCACAUAUUUUAAAAACAACUCUUCUUGCCUUUAGAAGAUACAAGGGAACAUAGUCGUCUCUGUCAGCUCCCUGUUCUUGCCUCCUCUUGUUCUGUGCACUGGGUUGGGCUCAGCCCUCAAGCAGUUUCCAGGCCAGUAAAAAAAAGCAUUUAAUAUAAGGCACUGAUACAGGAGGCCAUCGAAGCAUUGUGGAAUCAUGUACUAUCCCCUGUCCAGUCCUUUGACCAUGUGCCCACCACUGAACCAGUCUCUAUGACCAAACACUUGCAGAUAGAUGAUUAAACAAAGCCCACAUGACUCACACAAGAGUGCUUGAUAUAGAGUAACUUGUACACGCUUGCACAUGAGCCAACAUACACCACACAUAAAUGCAUGCACACAAGCAGCUUGACAAAAGCUUAUUUGAAGUGUCUGUAACUUUAGCAUCGAGAGCCAAUAACUUGCUUGUUUAACAGGAAUAAUAAUAAUAAUCAUAAUAAAAUAAUAUUAAUAGUCUAUUCUCGUGAUAUAAGCCCGUUGCCCUUGCAAAAGAGCCCUGCGUUCUUAACAUAAGACUUGUGUCUCACCACUCCUUUUUUAAUCCCCCUUUCUGUUCCUAAUGCACUUAGUACACAGCCAAGUGAAUGGGUGCGUCCAUUCAUACUCAUGGCACCUCAUUGUGUGUUCAAGUUCAGGCAUUCCAAAAUGAACCCAAAAAAAAAAAAAAAAAAAAUCCAAAA